rnacentral:misc_RNA from 1 species
GGCUGGUCUGAGUGCCCUUGAAUUGGAUAUUUUUACCCAAGCAUGGAAGUUUAUGGAAUGAACACUCGACUCUAAAGGCAAAAUAAAAGAUUAAUCAACAAAAGCAAAGGCAGAAGCUGCUCUUCUAGCAACUAUCUGGUAUUGUAGCCAAUUUUAGCCAAUUUUGCAACAAACGAAAUGGAGGCCUAACACUACCAAUCAAAAAGAGGGAUGAGGACUUAGGAAGAAAAAUUCAGGAGGAAAAUAUGUUGCAAUCUAGAAUUUCAACUACUAUGCAUAUAGAACAAGUCUAUGAUAACUCUCUCUUUAAAAUUAGGUGGUGGAACCAGGGAAGAAGAGAUGAAUAUAUGGUGCCAACACCAUAUUCUUAGACAUUUCUUAUAUGCCACCAACCACCAAUAAACAAAAAUAAAAUGAGGUUUCAG